CACCGCCCGUCACACCAUGGGAGUUGGUUUCACCCGAAGGCAGUGCGCUAACCCCGCAAGGGAGGCAGCUGACCACGGUGGGAUCAGCGACUGGGGUG
rnacentral:rRNA from 1 species